AAGUUUGCAUCCCCUGCGGGUGCCGCUGCCUCCUCGGACCAGCCACCAUGUCGGCCUUCCCGCUCUGACCAAAUCGUCACCGGCCACAGCAGCCGCCACCGGAACCACGGCCAGCCACGUCGUCUGACCAGCCUUGGCUUCGUCGGCGCCACCACACCCUUCAAGAGAGAGCAGCGGUUUCACAUCCUCCGCCACCACACGCACACCGUCGUCAACCUGCUUGGCCAGCCACCGUGACAGAGUCCCCCUACUCCGUCCAAGGCGCCGCCAGCGACCAAACUACCGGAGCUACCGCCAGCUUAGACGCGAAAUCCCCCUUUCCGCUUUCUCGCGUGAGAACAGGGAAGCGUAGUGCUUCCUUCCUUCAACCGGCCACCACCGCGAGCCGCCGUCGUCACAAAAACAACGACCCUUCGUCGGACCAACACUGAGAAACCACCGCACCUCCGGAAGUCCACGCGUACUCCAGUCGGCGCAGCCACAGCGAUCACCACGUGAAUCUCUUCUAUUCAAAUCUCUGUUUUACUACACACUCAUUCGAUAUUGGAGUGGGAUUCUCACAUUUAUGGGAUUUUUCAUGUUCUUGCUGUUUUUCUUGUUUGGGCGCUUGCAGGUUAUAGGCCAUGAAUCACUUGGUUUCAAGGAGGAUUUGGCAUAUAGAGUGCCGUUGUUGAAUUUCUUAGUUUUUGAUUGCCUUACAGCUUUGUAGUGUGUUUUCUAGGCAUUUCUGGAUGUAAGUAAAGAGGGUAUUGGGGUCCUGCUGUUGGAGAUAUAUAUGCCUAUGUUCCAUUGUCAAUUAAAUACGAUAGAUUUUGUAGGCAUUGAAAUUACGUUUUGGGUCCAUUUUUGAUUAACAGAUAAAACCACAAAGGGGACAACCACGAUUCUGUAUAGUGAUCAAACAACCAUUCAUUCAUCUCCAAGCAUGUGUAAGGAAAGCAUACGCAUAAGCAGGUUCAAAGAGUUUNCAAGCAUGCAUAAGGAAACAGAGAGCUUAAGUGUAAGCAUACAAGGACUUACCUCCACAGCUCCAAACCUUUCCUUUUGGUUCCAUACUCUCUGGCUCCCUUAGACCUUGGAUUGCUAAAGUAACCUUGCAGGUNCUGGAAAGCUAUGCUGAAAGCGAAUGAUUUUCUUUCUCUUUGGUCGUGAGGUGUUCCUUCUUCCUAAGUCGUGAUGAUAGGGGAUGGUGAAACGUU
rnacentral:lncRNA from 1 species